rnacentral:rRNA from 1 species
CCUACGGGGGGCAGCAGUGGGGAAUAUUGCACAAUGGGGGGAACCCUGAUGCAGCGACGCCGCGUGAGUGAAGAAGUAUUUCGGUAUGUAAAGCUCUAUCAGCAGGGAAGAAGAUGACGGUACCUGACUAAGAAGCCCCGGCUAACUACGUGCCAGCAGCCGCGGUAAUACGUAGGGGGCAAGCGUUAUCCGGAUUUACUGGGUGUAAAGGGAGCGUAGACGGCAGAUCAAGUCUGAAGUGAAAGCCCGGGGCCGAACUGCGGGACUGCUUUGGAAACUGCCCGGCUAGAGUGCUGGAGAGGGAAGCGGAAUUCCUAGUGUAGCGGUGGAAUGCGUAGAUAUUAGGAGGAACACCAGUGGCGAAGGCGGCUUACUGGACAGUAACUGACGUUGAGGCUCGAAAGCGUGGGGAGCAAACAGGAUUAGAUACCCUGGUAGUC